ensembl:lncRNA LINC01446 long intergenic non-protein coding RNA 1446
CAGCGCGGCUGGAACCCGGCCGACAGAAGAUGGCGGAUGAGCAGCGUGCAGGGUUUUCUCCCUGUGGCUCACUCUCUCUUACUGUGCUGGGCGGUUGCUUCCUCUCCUGCUGCCCUUGGGAGUCAGACUCCAGGUUCUUCAGCCUGUGGCCCCUGGGGCUCUCGGGCCUUGGAGGACUGACUAGGAGCACACGGUGGGCCUCUCUGGUUUGGGGGCCUGGGACGUGGCGGAGCCCUGCAGCUUCUGUGCGGCCUGUUCUGGGCGUCGCGUUGAAACGCCAGCCAGUUCCCCAAAAAGAGCAUACGGGAGAGAUGAAGCAGUCCACUCCAAGAACAUUCUCAUCCUACGGAUUACGAGUCCCCCUGGGAUUACAGGAGUGUUGAAGAAAUGUUGUGACACAUCAGAACACCGCGAAAUACAUGGACACUUUCAAAUCAUGGAAGACUCAAGCCCACCAGGUAUUUUUGAAAAAAGUACUCUGUGAAAAACAGAAACUGCAAGCAAGACAGAUACCAGGAUUAGGGAUCACGGUGACUUCUACCAUCGCUGGAUACUCCCAAAAGGGUUCUCGAGACAGCAGCUGUGUCUGCCCUGCUUUGGCAUUCUUUCCCAGGCAUGGCGACCGAUUUGAAAAAAGAGUGAUGGCUGUGUCCAGUGGCUCAUGCCUAGAAUCCCAGCACUAUGGGAGGCCGAGACAGGCAGAUCACUUGAGCCCAGGAGUUUUAGACCAGCCUGUGCAACAGGGUGAAACCUCGUUUCUACCAAAAAUACAAAAAUGCAUGGGCGUGGUGGCACAUGCAAAUAGUUCCAGCUAAUCAGGAUGCUGAGGUGGGAGGAUCACUUGAGCUCUGGCAAGUGGAGCCUGCAGUGAGCUGAGAUCACCACCACACUCCAGUCUGGGCAACAGAAUGAGAUCCUGUCUCAAUAAAAAGAAAAAAGCGUUGAUGUGGUUUGGCUCUGUGUCCCCACCCAAAUCUCACCUUGUAGCUCUCUUAAUUCCCACAUGUUGUGAGAGGGACCCAGUGGGAGAUGAUUGAAUUACGGGAGCCAGUCUUUCCCAUACCGUUGUCAUGGUAGUGAAUAAGCCUCGAGAUCUGAUGGUUUGAUAAGGAGAAACUUGUUUCGCUUGGCAUUUAUUCUCUCUUUGCCUGCUGCCAUGCAUGUAAGAUGUGAAUUUUGCUCCACCUUGACUUCUGCCAUGAUUGUGAGGCUUCCCCAGCCAUGUGGAACUGUAAUUAAACCUCUUUCUUUUGUAAA